rnacentral:rRNA from 1 species
GACGAACGCUGGCGGCGUGCUUAACACAUGCAAGUCGAACGGAAAGGCCCUGCUUGCAGGGUACUCGAGUGGCGAACGGGUGAGUAACACGUGGGUGAUCUGCCCUGCACUUCGGGAUAAGCCUGGGAAACUGGGUCUAAUACCGGAUAGGAGCCAUUUUUAGUGUGAUGGUUGGAAAGUUUUUUCGGUGUAGGAUGAGCUCGCGGCCUAUCAGCUUGUUGGUGGGGUAAUGGCCUACCAAGGCGGCGAC